rnacentral:rRNA from 1 species
UACGUAGGGUGCAAGCGUUAUCCGGAAUUAUUGGGCGUAAAGAGCUCGUAGGCGGUUCGGUAAGUCGGGUGUGGAACCUCCAGGCUCAACCUGGAGACGCCACCCGAUACUGCUGUGACUAGAGUCCGGUAGGGGAGCGUGGAAUUCCUGGUGUAGCGGUGAAAUGCGCAGAUAUCAGGAGGAACACCAGCGGCGAAGGCGGCGCUCUGGGCCGGAACUGACGCUGAGGAGCGAAAGCGUGGGGAGCAAACAGG